rnacentral:lncRNA from 1 species
AAAAACGGGGCCCUUCAGUCCCGUCGCGCUGCGCACGGCCCGCGGCGCUGCGCGCGCACGUAACCUCAUUGUGUUUUCUGUUCUUGCAGAGUCCACAGAGUUCGUUGUAUUGUGUGUUUUUUCUUUCCUUUUUCUUCGUUCAUCACCUUCGCAUUGACCAUGUCAGGUCAUCAGAGGCGACGCCCGCUGUUUUUCAUCAGGGAAUUGCACGCAUACGCAUCGGGAGCGAUCCCGUGAGCGUCAGCGGAUUGCGUCCGCGAUCCUAACCUCUCUCGAGGUUCGCCCGGUAUUUAUUACAUUAUCUAUUAUUAAUUAGUGCUUGUUCACUAAUACUGUGCCCAUUGUCGCACUGUUAUAUCGAAUGUCGAUUUUCAUCUGCUGGUUUCGAGUGAGUAUUUACGUCAUUUUUACUGACAACAGCUACUACUGUUUCCUGUUACCGGUAUAUAUACACAUGUAUGAUUAGUGCAGCAAGGAUUAGUGCAGCUUAUGGCGCGUAAGGUGCGCACGAGGGUCGCCAAGCGGACUUCUAGUCUCCGCGUCGUUGCUACGAGAGCGACUUCUAACCUCGCAGAACUUCGAGGGAGUCGCCACGUGGGACCUUCGCGGGAUCUUUGCGGGAUCUUCCGGUUCUACGUCUUGUGGCUGGUUGGUGCAAGCCGUAAGCGAAAUUUUUCGCUUAUGUAGUGUCGUAUCUCCCCGACAUCCAGCGAGGUGUCGGAGGAUACUCAAAGACCGGCGAGUCUUGUCCCGCAUGCAGACUUUACGACACUCUCGGACGGACCCGGCGAGGUAUCCGUACCGUUGGCUCCCCGACAUCCAGCGAGGUGUCGGAGGAUAUUGUUAGACCGGCGAGUCUUGCCCCACAUGCGGACAUUACGACGGACCCGGCGAGGUAUCCGUACAGUUGACUCUCCGAACGGAACGUAGACGAGCAGACGGUCCUUGCUGGCCGGGGCGGCGACCUAGGUAUGUCUCCUUCCCAUCUUGCUCUUUGUAACAAGAUGCACGAUGAAGGAGGACAUAACCGACUGCUCACUUCUACUGUGUUCCGCUUCUCUCUCCCUUUUUCCCUCCCUUUUCAGUGAAUGUCUCCCCGUUAGCGUUGGAGGACCUCACACUGUUACCGUCCUCGAUCCGGUGGCCAGCGCGACAAUCGGGCAUGGCGGACCUGCGGAGUUCAGGUCCAGGUCGGCUUCUCUUCAAAAGAACAGCCUCCAUCACCACUACAGCAUCGGAAUUAUCUAUCUUCUUGGAUGCUAUCGCAAUCGCGGUAUUUUCCCGUCUUCGGGAGGGAUUGAGGACUACCCUCUUCGGUGAGAGUGGCUUCUUUCAGCAGUGCAUCGCAACCAGACCGGAACAGAUCUGGUAAUUUCAUCAGCUCUAUUAUGGCGACUGCUUGGUCUAGUCAAAUGACAACCGAGGUCCAUUCUGUCCGUGUGGCUUUGAACUAUUGGGGCAAUGACCUUACGGAGCUCUCGAAGGUCGAAUCUCUGUCUCCGGAUGUCAGCAGACGGAGAAGGCACUGAUGAAGCAGACGGAUCAGCAAAAUUGAAGUAUCCGCUUGUUGACGGAAUACCUUGUUUCGUCUCUUUCAGACGACGAGGAUUGUUUCAGCUUGUCUGCCAGCCUCUACCACCGGUUCCUCCUUUUUGACAACGAUCUUGCUAUUCGUAUCGGACCGCCGCCAAGCGCGUUCAGCAGUAAAGCGAGUGACGGGCAAUCGGCUGGUCGAGCUGCAUCCGAUGUUUUUUGUCCUGACAGGCAUUCACUUUAGCUUCCUCGACUUCACGAGUGAAAUGAUCUUCAGGUGACCCCAGUGGAUCCAUUUUUCCAUCCGCAAGCGGCUAUCGCUAAUGGCUUGCAGAAACGGUUCGAGCGGCACCAUCUAUUGUGCAGUGUCUCCAAAGAUGGCGUGUAAUAUGCCUUACCUGCAGGUUCAUCAACCAUCCGUCGGGCUUGUAUCGCCCGACACGGCUCGAUUUUUCUCUCCGUGCAGUGUCCCGACGGCAGGGACAAAACAAACAGUCCCUCCGCGUAAUGUAUCCUCCAUCAAUCCUCGCCUCACCAAUCGAGAAGAAUUUUUUCGCAGUGUGCCGCACCAGGACGUCGUCUUCCUGCUCCUGAGUUCGCACCUGACGCUACACCCGGCAGAAUCAACGGGUUGUUUGAUUGUCUGCACGAAUCGAGAGCGAAAAAUAACAUUUGCUCUCAGAUACUCGGCUUACCGACUAUACGAGUUCCUUUUUCCGCAUCACCGCUGUUCCGUUCUUAUCUGUCGGAGUGGUUUCUGUCCGCGCGGAGAGCCGCUCACUGCAUUGCGGACAUGUAGCAGUUAUGAGUCUUCACUGAUGCUUAUCACAUUUAGCCUAUGAGCUAUUGCCUUUUUUGCAGAGGAAUGCAUUUCUUUUUAAAGUCACGCGAACUGAAUACAUUCCGGUCUCCAUCUUAUAUAUGGCAGAUUGACGUACUAUUGCCUCAGAAUGCUAAAUUGUACGACAGCUUUUGUGCAUCUUGAACGCAUCUCAGCUGGUAUCGUUACACUCCUCUCGUCCUCCGUUAUUAGUAACGAGCUUUAUGGUUUUGUUUCGUGGCCUGUCCCCGACACCUUCCACUUUUUCUGCGACCGUCUGCCCCAUGGUUAGGGCAUUGCGACGGCGGAAUUCUCAAUCAAUCAUAUUCUUCCACGAUUUUCGGCCUUUAGACGCCCUGGAAGAGGUCUAUCAAAGGAAGUUUUCAGCCGUCUUGGAUCUAUUCUUAUUUCUGAAUUUCUCUGUUCAUUCUGAGCUCUAACCCUCCUCUGCAUGUAGCUUGGGUUGCAGCUACGAUUCUAUCUCCCGACUUCUGGCAAUGAUACUGAAUAUCUCAUGAAGUCCCCGGUGCUCUAUCCGAGAUUUCACGCACAUGGUUGCUCAGCCGAGAGAAAGAAGUUUUUGGUUUUGGAGACUCAUUCUCAAUACUAUGGCGGGUGGGUGUCACCCCCCGGAUAUCUGAGUACAGAUUACAAACGGAUUGGCGUUUUUUCAAACAGUAUUUAGUGCGCUGCAGCUCGCUCUGGCUCCGAGGGUGCUUUGUUCUUUGAUGUACCCCUAACGGGCUGGCGAGCUCCAUAGAAGAUUUCAAGCCUGCAUUAUCACCGGAAAUAGACGGAGAUGACGCGCACAGCGCAAUAUUUACUGUUCUCGUUUUUCAUAUUGCCUUCCUCGGCAAUGUCAUUACAGAUGCCGCAUCAGGAUUUCCAGACAUCGAUGCUGAGUCACUACUGCCGACUCGGGCGUCCAAUCGGACUGAGACAGCAUUUAGUCUUCUCGUCGCAGAGUUGGUUGACUUAAUAGCAAACGUAAAACGUUGAUGCUUCCUGGUUCUUCGCCCCUGAUUUAGGAGCGAUUGCUGUGUUUCUCAUAACUCAAUAAUAUGAUCUGCCUCAAUUACUGGGAACUCCAUAGGACGUUCACCUUCAAAGUGUGAAAGCAGAUUCGUUUACCCGAUAUAUUUGCCGAUUCUUGCACUGUACUCUGCUAUUGUAUACUCCUUAUACUAUAUCUAGAUACAGUCCUUCUCGGUUGCUACACGACCCAUACUUUCAUUUUCUCUGUGUCUACGCCCGUUGGCCGCGUUGGCGUCUAUAUUUACUUAUGUCCACCGCUGUUACUAUGACACUACUCCUUCUUCUCGUGCCAGGAUCCAGUCAAUAUGCUACUCUCUCACAGGCAUUAUAUCUCCGCUUACCGUCAUUCGCUAUGGGUUAAGCCAUCAUUCGAAUGCCGGACAUUCGGAUAACGUCAGCCGCUAGUUGCGCGCAAAUGCUAUCUAUUUUUCCCGGUUUUUUCCAUCGUCUGGACCUGUGUAUUGUUCCUUUUGCGUGCGCACUAUCUCGACCUUGCCAAGAAUCUUUAUGCGCUCGAUUAUAUCUUUUUUCUUCUAUCCUGCGUGAUAAUAACGUAUUCUUAUGCAACUAUCAUCGCGAGCCUUUUGGAUUUCGUUUUAUCAGGAAAUCUUUACGUUUCUUAAUCCGACAUUUAUGCCUUGUUAUGCGAGCUACUUAUCUUGGUUCUAUUAGUUACUUCUGUCUUCCGUCUUUUCGAAGGAAAUACGGACGAUUCCCACAUGUGGCACGUAUCGGCCCUCCUGCAUAAUCAGUUCGCUCGUGAGAGGAAUAUCACUCAUCUCGCGGUAUUUCCAUGUCAUCUUGACCCGACGAUGUCGCUCCGAAAGCACGGCAACGAGCGUGAGCUAUGUUUUCGGUUUGUUUUCCAUCUUCGUUACCCCAGCUGCUUUGAUUGCGGACUUAUCAUUAUUCCUAUAGUAUUAUUAUACUCGUCUUAUAGCAGUCUCGUAAGUCUCCUAUUGUAGACUGGAUGUGAUCCUUAUUUAUCUGUUACUGUUCUCAUUCUUUUGGCUGGUUUUUUGCGCCCACCGGUGCGCCCAGUUCCUUUCUUUGGCAGAUGUACAAGCUUUUUAAUGUGACUGCUUCCUUGGAUUUUGUACCAAGUGUUAUGUUAAUUUGGUACUUCUCGGCAAAUCGUGCUUUGAACAACUACAUAGUUCUUUAUCCAUCCGGACGAGACACCAGGCAUAAUUAUAAUCGAACUUCACUUACAGGUAAGUUCGUUUAAUUAUACAAGUCUUUAUGAUGUUACAUCGCAGUUUGAAUUAAUACUAGUAAUAAAUGUACUCUAAACUACAAGAUCGCAAAGAACUAUACAGAUGAGCAAACUUAUCUUCGAGCCACUUAUCUUGCUUGGAUCGAACCGGAACCUCCGAUGCCGUGAAUCUGUCGUAGAGAUCGCAAGAUUAGCUGAAUCUGGAUAUAUAAUAAUAUAAUUAUAGACAAAGGUAUAAUAAUCCGAUUUUUAUUAUUUCAUUUAAACUCUUUAAUUAAUUACUGCAAGUUGAAUUUUAUGAAAGAGUAUUUAUCUCUAUUAUGAAUAAUAAAACGUAAAAAUUCGACUUUUUAUUUAAUUUAAACCUAUUUUAUUUAAACCUAUUUACCUUACGAUUACUUUGCGCCGCCUGAUGCUGUUCCUGAGUCUCCUCCUCCUCACAAUCAGUUUUUGGUGGCACUCGUGAUAAUGCGGCACUUUCGAUAAGGUAAUAAUACGCAAAAAAAUGCGGUGUUCUUGAUGUGAUGGCUUUUGCGCAAUUUACGACACUUAUAUCCGAAAUUUUGGUCGGCCAAUAUUUAGCGCGAAUUUAAAGUACCGUCUCAUUCUCGACGAUCUUUGGACAAUAGUGCAUGAUAAAGUUUUCAAGUACAUACUAAUGUAUUUAAUUAAAACUAUUGUCAUGAAAACUAUUCCCUAAAGUUUUGUGAAAUGCGUAAAGUGCGCGUUUGAAUCGAUUGAAGCGAUAUUUGUGACGCGCAUAUUGCUAUUUGUUGAUUAAUUCGAUAUCAAUGAUAUAUGAAAAAAUAAGAAAUAGCUAUAUUAGUCUCCUGGCUGCUUUAUUUGAUGGCUGGAUAUAGAUUUCAAAUUGUAAAAUAUAUUCUUCAAAAAACAUCUGUCUGAAUAUAUUUACGAUGCAGAUUCGCAAUAUGUUCUACAGAGUGCUCCCCUGCAGUUAAAUGGCCAAACUUGAAAUAUGAAUUUAGGACCUCAAAAUAAAAAAAACAUUCCUCUGAAAGUAUGCUCACAAACGCUUCGUUUAAGAGAUAUUGAUUUCUGAAGUUAUAUUAUAGAAGUAUAAUGUCGAAAUAUCUCUUUUUUUGGUUUAGAACAUCAUAGGUCAUCGACAUUAUGUUUAAACUGUAAACAAAGUUCCGUCCAUUUGUACAAAAUAAUUGUUAGUUUGUUAAAUGCUUUCGUAGAAUAAAUUAUUAUCAUGCACAAAGUUGUCAAAGAACGCGGUAUCCAGUCGGAGUCAUUACUGCUUACGAAAUUGAUAGCCACAAAAGCUUCAAAGUCAAAAUAUUAUCAUGCUUUAUACGUAUUCAAUUCAUGGAUAUGUCGAUAUGAUAUGUUUAUAUGGAUUUUGUAACGGAAAUAUAUCCUAUUGUAAUUGUACCCUGCUCGCAAUGAGUAUGUUGCGCAAUUUCCGAACAGAAAAUUGCCGAAUAAGAUAGCAUUCUUUUUAAAAUUUCAACGAUUGAGGGAAACUGGGUCAUUUAAUAUGGUCCUCCGGGCUGAUGAAAGUUUUGCACCGUUGCAAACUGAGAGAAGAUCAGCCAUCAUAUUGCAACAUUUUAAUCAAAACCCACCAACAAAUAUUCGAAGAUCUGGUUCAGAGUUAGGAAUUUCGCAGUUAUGUGGAAAACACUUUCAGCUCAGAUUGACGUCACUCAUAUCACCUUCAACGUGUUCAGUAUUUAUUACCGGCUGAUAUGCUACGCUGGAAAGCAUUUUGCAGUUGUUUUUAACCAAAAUACUGAUCCACAAUUUUCGCAAAACAUUUGUGGAGAGAUGAGGCCAUAUUUACCAGACAAGGUAUUCUCAAUCCAAGAAAUAAUCAUGUUUGGCCACAUGAAAAUAAACAAACCAAUGAACAAACAAUUUAAUAAUUAAAUUUUGAUUACUGUAAAGUAAUAAAGAGGAUAAACCUAGAUUAUUUUGAAAUUAUUUAUUUCUAAUAGUUCUUGUAUCUUGUAACUUUUGAAGUCUCUUAAACGGAGUGCUUACAAGCAUACUUUCAAAGGAAAUUUUUUGUGGUCCUAAAUAUUUCAAGUUCGGCCAUUUAAUCUGGAAGCACCUUGUAUAUUCGUACAAUGUGAUUAUAUCUUUUUAUUUUAACGUAAAAUUAAUUUUAUUUAAUUAUAUUUAUAAUUACUUGAGUAUUCGAUUUUAUUGCAUUGAAUUAUUAGGGGAGACGGAGACAAAAGUACCAUUUUGCAUUUAAGAUUUUAUAACAAUUAAAACAUAAUAACCAUGCAAAAAGGAUAUGUACCUUAAUUUAGAUGUAGAAUUUAUUUGACUACAAAAUUAUAUUACGUCAAAUUUUGCAACUUAACUAGGAAAAAAGUUAUUACUGUUAAAAUGAUAUGAGGAAUACUGAUACAAUCGUCCCAACCUCCGGGACGGUUGUACUCCGGGACAGUAGAUGGGGACAAUUGGAGACAGUUGUAACUUACAACUGUACCGUGGUAAUUUUGUCCCCGGUCUCCCCUAUAUGAAUAAAAUUAUUAUAUGUAAUCGCAUAAACGUGAUUAAAUGCUAAAGCUAUUGAAAUAUUUAUGAUUGGAAAUGUAUCGCGAAUUUUAGUACUCAAAUCUCCAUAGAAUUAUUAUAAAUUAAGUCAACGCGUUAAAAACGAAUACGCAUUCACGUAUGUUUUCUAAUAACACCAAAAAGUCAUAAUUAUUAUUAUAAUAUCAACUUAUAUUAUAGAGAAUAUUAUUUGCGUCGAUGUAGUGUCAACGGAUGACAACAGAAUAUGCGCAAUCUUGAAUUUAAGAUUGUUGAUAUGUGGUACCGGUAAUUUCCAAGAUGCACAACAUUAGGUCAGGGAUGUACAUUCGCGAUACAUGUUUUCCGUGCUGCCUUUAUUCUUCAGCUAACCAUUACGAGAUGAAUGUCAGAUGAUAUUAGCAUGUAAGUGGUUUUAUAAAUUGUAUACGAUCUGCAUAGUUUGCCAAAUCUGUAACGUUAUCAUUUGGUUUUUUUAUAGAUAAUGACUUUAUGUACUAAUAUUUUCACCUGAAGAGGACCAAAUUCUAUCGUCAAAAUGUAGUGUACACCUUAUAGUUAAAUACAUUGCCAGUCAGGUCGAA